rnacentral:rRNA from 1 species
GUGGAUUAGAUACCCUGGUAGUCCUAGCCGUAAACGGUGCACGUUUGCUGUAAAAGGAAUCGACCCCUUUUGUGGCGUAGCUAACGCGUUAAACGUGCCGCCUGGGAAGUACGGUCGCAAGAUUAAAACUCAAAGAAAUUGACGGGGGCCUGCACAAGCGGUGGAGUAUGUGGCUCAAUUCGAUGCAACGCGAAGAACCUUACCUGGCCUUGACAUGCAUAUAGUAGAAGGGUGAAAGCCUGACGAGGUAGCAAUACCAGUAUGCACAGGUGCUGCACGGCCGUCGACAACU